rnacentral:sRNA from 1 species
UGCCCGAUGCGCUGCAGAACGAGGCAGCCCC